GACAAACGCUGGCGGCGUGCCUAAUACAUGCAAGUUGAGCGCUGAAGGUUGGUACUUGUACCGACUGGAUGAGCAGCGAACGGGUGAGUAACGCGUGGGGAAUCUGCCUUUGAGCGGGGGACAACAUUUGGAAACGAAUGCUAAUACCGCAUAAAAACUUUAAACACAAGUUUUAAGUUUGAAAGAUGCAAUUGCAUCACUCAAAGAUGAUCCCGCGUUGUAUUAGCUAGUUGGUGAGGUAAAGGCUCACCAAGGCGAUGAUACAUAGCCGACCUGAGAGGGUGAUCGGCCACAUUGGGACUGAGACACGGCCCAAACUCCUACGGGAGGCAGCAGUAGGGAAUCUUCGGCAAUGGACGAAAGUCUGACCGAGCAACGCCGCGUGAGUGAAGAAGGUUUUCGGAUCGUAAAACUCUGUUGGUAGAGAAGAACGUUGGUGAGAGUGGAAAGCUCAUCAAGUGACGGUAACUACCCAGAAAGGGACGGCUAACUACGUG
rnacentral:rRNA from 1 species